rnacentral:rRNA from 1 species
CUACGGGUCGCAGCAGUGAGGAAUAUUGCACAAUGGGGGGAACACUGAUGCAGCAACGCCGCGUGGAGGAUGACGCAUUUCGGUGUGUAAACUCCUUUUAUAUGUCAAGAAAAUGACGGUAGCAUAUGAAUAAGCACCGGCUAACUCCGUGGCCAGCAGCCGCGGUAAUACGGAGGGUGCAAGCGUUACUCGGAAUCACUGGGCGUAAAGGACGCGUAGGCGGGUUGGAAAGUCAGGUGUGAAAUCCUACAGCUUAACUGUAGAACUGCACUUGAAACUUCUAAUCUAGAGUAUGGGAGGGGGAGAUGGAAUUAGUGGUGUAGGGGUAAAAUCCGUAGAUAUCACUAGGAAUACCUAAAGCGAAGGCGAUCUCCUGGAACAUUACUGACGCUAAGGCGUGAAAGCGUGGGGAGCAAACAGGAUUAGAUACCCCAGUAGUC